CAUUAUAAAAUUAUAAGCCAGGGCUGGGGAUGGCCUCCUUCAAGGGGGGCAUGUGCACGCCCGAGCUCUUAAAUCCACAACACACCUGUGAACCCACCGUGGGCCCUUCACGGGGCUUGCCUCUUAUACACUCUGUAUGUCUCAUAAAAUGUCAAACGUGUUGCCUUAAAAACGCAAUUGAAUACAACUUUCAACAACGGAUCUCUUGGCUCUCGCAUCGAUGAAGAACGCAACGAAAUGCGAUAAGUAAUGUGAAUUGCAGAUUUUCAGUGAAUCAUCGAAUCUUUGAACGCACCUUGCGCCCCUUGGUAUUCCGAGGGGCAUGCCUGUUUGAGUGUCAUUAAACCAUCAACCUCGCCGAUCCCCAUUCGGUCGAGGCUUGGACUUUGGAGCGUGCUGGCCUGAGAGGGUCGGCUCCUCUUUAAAUGCAUCAGCGGAAAGCGGGGGCGAUGUUUCCCGUCGGCGUGAUAAAUCCUGUUGCGUCGCUGGGUCGUGUCGGGGUCCGCUCACAAUCGUCUUCGGACAACACAUAUUCCUUUUGACCUCAAAUCAGGGAGGACUACCCGCUGAACUUAAGCAUAUCAAUAAGCGGGAAGAAA
rnacentral:sRNA from 1 species